rnacentral:lncRNA from 7 species
CCAGAAAAGGGGGGCGUCGCUGUAUGUUGGUACUAACUGAUACGUCUUUGGGAUGGCCAGAGGUAUUACGCUGUAGAACUAAUAAGGCUGGGAAAGUAACGAAAAUGCUGUUACAUGAAAUAAUUCCAAGAUUCGAGGUUCCUGUAGAAAUCUCAUCAGAUCGAGGCCCACAUUUUUGCCAAGGUGGUCUAACAGAGAAGCACAUUAUGGGAAUUGAUUGGCAAUUGCACACCACCUUAUAGACCGCAGUCAAGCGGACAGGUAUAAAAAUGAAUCACCUGAUCAAAUUACAGAUAGCAAAACUUGGCCAAGAGUCUGGGAUUCCCUGGCCGCAGGCACUGCCUUUGGCACUUCGGAGAAUUCGGACUAAGCCUCGAACCAAGGAAGGAUUAAGCCCAUAUGAGAUUCUUUAUGGGUGACCUUAUACUGUACAAAAGGAAAUCUCUAUGCGGGUUAGGGAUGAGGUGUUAAUAUAAAGUCAGUUUGGUGAAGCACUUAAAGGAAACUAAACAAAGAGUAUUCGGUGCCAAGGCAUGAGGCCCAGGCAGUCCAGUGCAUGAUGUAUUGCCAUGUUGCAAUACAUCAUGCAUAUUGUUUAUGUUAAAUUUCUCUCCGAUUGACCUCUGGAACCAAAGUGGGAAGGACCCUACCAAGUUCUCCUGACCGCCCACACCACUGCCAAGGUACAGGGACUUACACCGUGAACACAUCACACCUGCCUGAAGAAAGCACCAGGAGCACAGUUCGAACUAAGUGUUCAUACAGCCCCAUAGCUAUACAUAACAAGGAAUACCACAGCUUUCUGAGAGCACUUAUCCCAGCUCUAUUAGUUGCCCAGCUAGAAAAAGCUAUAGUAAAUAUCUCUGCAACUCUGGAAAUCAUAGAGAAUGCCACAACAGANNNNNNNNNNCAUUGGGACCAUCGUGGCCAUAUUGUGGCCUUUGGGGCCUUUGGGGCCUUUGGGGCCUUUGGGACCAUCGUGGCCAUAUUGUGGCCUUUGGGGCCUUUGGGACCAUCGUGGCCAUAUUGUGGCCUUUGGGGCCUUUGGGGCCUUUGGGGCCAUUGGGACCAUCGUGGCCAUAUUGUGGCCUUUGGGGCCUUUGGGGCCUUUGGGGCCAUUGGGACCAUCGUGGCCAUAUUGUGGCCUUUGGGGCCGCCCCGCAGUUUCGGGGUCGAUGGUGUCGGUGUGGAGGGACCGCAGCAGCACUCGGAGUGCACUGCAGACACUGCUGCGGGCCGUGUGGGAGCGCAACAGCUCCUCGUGCCAGGUGUGCCCCCCCGGGUGGCGGCUGUAUGGGGGCAGCUGCUAUAGGGUGGGCAGCGGCGCUGUGGGGUGGGCGCAGGCGGAGGGCCGCUGCCGGGACAGUGGGGCACAGCUGGUGGUCAUCAACGACGCGCAGGAGCAGGAGUUCCUGACGUCGUUGGCGCCCCCCCACGAGACGUGGAUCGGACUGCACGACCGCAGCACGGAGGGCUCCUUCCAAUGGGGUGGACGGCAGCGCCCUCAGCUUCCGGUGCGCGGGGGGGGAGAUGGGGGCGGGGGGGAUGGGGGUGAUGGGGGGCUGUGGGGUGAUGGGGGGUGUGGGGUGAUGGGGGUUAUGGGGCGAUGGGGGCUAUGGGGUGAUGGGGGCUUGGGGUCAUGGGGGGCGGUGGGGGCGAUGGGGACUAGGGGUAAUGGGGUGAUGGCGGUUAUGGGUGAUGGGGGGUGAUGGGGAGAUGUGGG